rnacentral:rRNA from 1 species
CAGCAGCAGCCGCGGGAAUACGUAGGGUGCAAGCGUUAGUCGGAAUUACUGGGCGUAAAGCGUGCGCAGGCGGUUAUAUAAGACAGAUGUGAAAUCCCCGGGCUCAACCUGGGAACUGCAUUUGUGACUGUAUAGCUAGAGUACGGCAGAGGGGGAUGGAAUUCCGCGUGUAGCAGUGAAAUGCGUAGAUAUGCGGAGGAACACCGAUGGCGAAGGCAAUCCCCUGGGCCUGUACUGACGCUCAUGCACGAAAGCGUGGGGAGCAAACAGGAUUAGAUACCCGGGUAGUCCCUGUCUCUUAUAC